UACGUAGGGGGCGAGCGUUGUCCGGAGUUACUGGGCGUAAAGGGCGCGCAGGCGGUCUGGUAAGUUUGGAGUGACAGUGCUCGGCUUAACUGAGCAAGGCCUUCGAAAACUCUCAGACUUGAGCACUCAAGAGGGACAUAGAAUUCCGGGUGGAGUGGUGAAAUGCGUAGAGAUCGGAAAGAACACCAACGGCGAAAGCGCUCUGCUGGGCCGGCACUGACGCUGAGAGACGAAAGCUAGGGGAGCGAAUGGG
rnacentral:rRNA from 1 species